GCGGGAACCUCUUUCGAAGAGAUUCUUCGCCGAUCUCCGCCGAAAAUCCCCAAAAUCCCCGAUCUCCGCGGAUCUCUUCGCCGUUCCAGACCUCACCGCCGGCGCCCUCGUCAUCCCCAAAAUCCCAGUCUUGGGUUUGAUCAAGAGGAUCAUCUCUCGGCAUCCUCAGAAGAGGAGCUUGGAGGCAGAAUCAUCAUCUGCAAACACCUGCAUUCACAUUGUACCUAUCAAUAGGAAGAUGAAGUUGCCUGUAAUCUCAAUGUAAUAAUGUUCGCAUCACACAUCCUCCGAAGAGCUGAUGCCUUUUAGCAAUGUAAAGCAAGAGAUAUGUUAUAUUAUUUGCAGCGGAAACAGGAAAGGUCAAAUAAGUUGAGAAGAAGUUAAGCACAUCUGUAGAAAAUUCAGCGAGAAAACAGUUAGGACUUGUAUGUGUAAAAGUAAAUAUGUAACCUUUUAAUUCAAUGAAAUUCUUUGGUGUUGCUCUUUGAUUCAAUGAGCUUCACUUUUGCCAA